CAAUAAAUUUAUUAGAUUAGAUGGUAGAUUAGAACAACAAUUCUCUGCACCAUUAUGGUAGAAGGCCACUUGCCAUGUCUUAUAACAGUUGAAAAAAUUUAAAAUGAAAAUUCACUAGGAAAUAGCUAUGGUCGGUCGCAGAUUUGCAUAUCGGGAGCUGAAGUGCAUACAGCCGUAGAUCUUAUUAGUUAUCUUUAACGGCUUAAUCCUGACCGUCCCUACAACUCGAGGAGGGUCAAGCGGCGUUAUUAUCGUGAACACGCUUGUGUUUCCAAUACUCGUACAAAUUUCUUCUCUCCCAGAUGGCAGUCCUCUGCGCUUCCUUCACUUAUCCUAUUCCUCCUCUGCCCUUGAGUCCUCUGCAGUUCCCUCCUCCCUAUAGAUUGUUUUUAGGUCUGAUUCCUUGUUCCCUCCGUCCUCUCCGGGCCCCUUCAGUCUUCUUCGACCCAACAACUUGUUUUGGUUAAUUUGAUGGAGAGGUGUUGGGUCGGGGAGAGAGAGGGAGGGAAAGAGUUUAAUUGUUAUGGCAGUCUGAUGGGAAGGGGAAGGGGAAGGGGAAGGGGAAGGGGAAGAGGAAGAGAAAGGAGACCAAGGAUCGAUGGGGGAGAGAGAAGACGAGAGAAGGGGAUGAUUGGUUUGUUUUUGUUUGUUCAUAUCCUAAUUAAUUGUUGACCCUGACAUCACUCAUCAAGCCCCUAACUAAUAGCUUCAAGACAGACAGAUCCGCCGCGACCACGAACCAGAGACAGAUCUGGUCAUAUCCAGAAAAACAAAACCAGCAUGGAAAUCAAUCCGGCCGGCACAAUCACAAUCAGCAUGAAAAUCAAGCCGUAGGAGUUGGACCCAUAAGCACGGAUCUAGACCUACCCAAAGAAGUUUUGUAUAGGAUUUCUUUGGACAGAGCUAGAUCCGUGAUUAUUGGGAGUGAGGAUCCACCAACGCUAUCAAAGAAACCGGCUACCCGCAGCAGCCGGAGCAACAUGGAAGUUGGUCUGGGGUUUGGCUUUUGGGCUGCUGGAGCAGGGGAUAGUAGGUUCAAAGUCGGUACUUUGAUCUUUGUUUGUCUCAUACUGUCUGUUUAGAUCGCUUCACCUCCUCUUCUCUAUUUUUCUUUCUUUUUUUUUUCUUUUUUUCUGGUGUAUGAGAAUUGGAAUUAUGAAAUUCAUUUUUUUUGAUCUCUGUGCUAAACUAAAUUAGAUUGGGUUGUCUUAGUUAUGAAAUUCAUACUAAUAAUUAGAAUACUUAUAAUUUCAAUCAAUCAGUGUUAGGCUGAGCCCGUAACUCAGAUUAAUGUGGCACGUCUUUCAUCUUAAUUUGUGCCAAAGAAUGGCCCAAUGAGUUCAUUUGAUUAUUCUUACUUUUUUUACUUUUAUUUAUUUAUGCAUAACGUUUCUUCUAAGUUAAAUGAAUCAAUAAAUUAUCAGUUUUUAAUUUUCAACAUCUGCAUGCAAUGCAUGAUGACUGAUGGAUCAGUUUUCUUUUCUUGGUUGGAGGCACGAUCGGAGACCUAUUUUCUGUAGCUAGCGAAGAGAUUGGCUGAUACGAUUAUUGAGGAGGUCCUAUUAAAAAAAAAAAUUAUUGAGGAGGUGCGGGAUUUGGCUCUUCAACACCUCAGUCAAAGAGGUAGCUCUACCUCUAAAUGGUGAGACCGUGAGAGAUUUUUCCAUCUACUCGGAAGGAACGCGAGACAGCACACUAUCUAUCAUAAUACAAUUGGAAGGAAAUUGGUGAAUAUAUUUUCAUCGUCCGUCACACUCGUGUUUCAAGCAAACCGAAAAAACUUUGUGAAUUUACUCAACUAGCCGACGAUAACAAGUUCCACGGGUACUGCGUUGGUGUCCUCGUGCCAUGAAAGUUCUCCUCCAAUCCAAGAGAGUCUGCAUCUGUAAAUUCACAUGCUCCACCACAUCAUAAUAACAUGACUGAUUAGUAUGUGUUUGUGUGGAAGAAGGUGUACGCGGGAUGGGAUGAGACUGUCAGAAGAAUAUGGCAUCCAACUACCUAAUAGAAACAAACAAAGUAAGUCCAAAUCAGUUGUUAGAAAAUAUCCUUCGGACACGGGUCCAGGAACUGGUGGUAUGUUUCUCUUUCUCGUACUUGGGCAACAGAAUGCUUUGAUUAUUUGAUUAUACUUGCGAAGUAUACUGCAUUUCUAGUUCUUUCUGCAUAUGUUAGCAUGGUGGUCAUCCACCGGAAAUUAAUGUUUGCGACACGCUAAAAAAAUAAAGACCUUAUGCUUAUUUGAUGCGACAGUCAUGUAUCCUGUCUAAAUCUGAACUCUGAAGUAAAGAAGACCCUGUUUGAUUUGAGUUUUGAGCCUAGGUGGUGUCCAUAUAUAAUGCUAAAAGGAAAUCUUCUGAAACCCUGCUUCCUUAACUCUUGGCCCUACCAAGUGAAAGAAAUUUACGUCCGGUUUAAUGUUUGGUUGUCUUGAAUACCUUUGAAGCUCAACCAUUAAGUGACGAAGAGGGAGAUGCAAAUAACUUGGAGGAGGAAGCAGCAUAUUUUAGCAUAAAAUAUCUUACAAGCAGUAAUCUCAUUUGGGAUAGACAUUUAGAUGCUUAUUAGAUGGACAUAUAUACAUGAAUACGCAAAUAAGAAGACUAGGAAUUGUACGAACACCACGAGGAAGCUCAAUUUUCCUUGCUACACUACAUGGAACAUAGUCAUACACUAUUGCGCCAAUUACACGAAUUCUCAUGCAACUAAAUACUUAGGCUCCCAACACAACACAAUCUCAAUGGGUUGCUUAGAUACACUAAUGAGAGAACGUUUAAGCAAUGCUCUUUUACUUUUUCCAUAUCAUAUCGAUGUUCAAGUUA